rnacentral:rRNA from 1 species
CCUACGGGAGGCAGCAGUGGGGAAUAUUGGGCAAAGGGCGCAAGCCUGACCCAGCAACGCCGCGUGAAGGAAGAAGGCUUUCGGGUUGUAAACUUCUUUUGUCAGGGAAGAGUAGAAGACGGUACCUGACGAAUAAGCCACGGCUAACUACGUGCCAGCAGCCGCGGUAAUACGUAGGUGGCAAGCGUUGUCCGGAUUUACUGGGUGUAAAGGGCGUGUAGCCGGGUUGACAAGUCAGAUGUGAAAUCCUGCGGCUUAACCGCAGAACUGCAUUUGAAACUGUUGAUCUUGAGUACUGGAGAGGCAGAUGGAAUUCCUAGUGUAGCGGUGAAAUGCGUAGAUAUUAGGAGGAACACCAGUGGCGAAGGCGGUCUGCUGGACUGUGACUGACGUUGAGGCCCGAAGGCGUGGGGAGCAAACAGGAUUAGAUACCCCAGUAGUC